rnacentral:rRNA from 1 species
AUGACAUUGCCAAACACACUCAUGUCAGCAGAUCAGAUAUUUGAGUUUGUUAGAGCUGCGGAUUGUUAUCCAAAUGUCUCAAUUGCUUAUCGUAUCCUCUUGACUGUACCGGUCACUGUUGCAUCAGCUGAAAGGAGUUUCUCAAAAUUGAAGUUACUGAAAAAUUAUUUGAGGUCAACAAUGUCCCAAGAUAGACUGAAUGGUUUGGCCAUGUGCUGCAUCGAGAAGAAUAUGUUGGACAAUAUUGAUCUUGACAUUGUCAUUGAUGAUUUUGCGUCAAAAAAUGCACGGAAGUCUCGCUUCUCAUGA